AGAGUUUGAUCAUGGCUCAGAUUGAACGCUGGCGGCAGGCCUAACACAUGCAAGUCGAGCGGUAACACAGAGAGCUUGCUCUCGGGUGACGAGCGGCGGACGGGUGAGUAAUGUCUGGGAAACUGCCUGAUGGAGGGGGAUAACUACUGGAAACGGUAGCUAAUACCGCAUAAUGUCGCAAGACCAAAGUGGGGGACCUUCGGGCCUCAUGCCAUCAGAUGUGCCCAGAUGGGAUUAGCUAGUAGGUGGGGUAACGGCUCACCUAGGCGACGAUCCCUAGCUGGUCUGAGAGGAUGACCAGCCACACUGGAACUGAGACACGGUCCAGACUCCUACGGGAGGCAGCAGUGGGGAAUAUUGCACAAUGGGCGCAAGCCUGAUGCAGCCAUGCCGCGUGUGUGAAGAAGGCCUUCGGGUUGUAAAGCACUUUCAGCGGGGAGGAAGGCGUUAAGGUUAAUAACCUUGGCGAUUGACGUUACCCGCAGAAGAAGCACCGGCUAACUCCGUGCCAGCAGCCGCGGUAAUACGGAGGGUGCAAGCGUUAAUCGGAAUUACUGGGCGUAAAGCGCACGCAGGCGGUCUGUCAAGUCGGAUGUGAAAUCCCCGGGCUCAACCUGGGAACUGCAUUCGAAACUGGCAGGCUAGAGUCUUGUAGAGGGGGGUAGAAUUCCAGGUGUAGCGGUGAAAUGCGUAGAGAUCUGGAGGAAUACCGGUGGCGAAGGCGGCCCCCUGGACAAAGACUGACGCUCAGGUGCGAAAGCGUGGGGAGCAAACAGGAUUAGAUACCCUGGUAGUCCACGCCGUAAACGAUGUCGAUUUGGAGGUUGUGCCCUUGAGGCGUGGCUUCCGGAGCUAACGCGUUAAAUCGACCGCCUGGGGAGUACGGCCGCAAGGUUAAAACUCAAAUGAAUUGACGGGGGCCCGCACAAGCGGUGGAGCAUGUGGUUUAAUUCGAUGCAACGCGAAGAACCUUACCUGGUCUUGACAUCCACAGAACUUUCCAGAGAUGGAUUGGUGCCUUCGGGAACUGUGAGACAGGUGCUGCAUGGCUGUCGUCAGCUCGUGUUGUGAAAUGUUGGGUUAAGUCCCGCAACGAGCGCAACCCUUAUCCUUUGUUGCCAGCGGUUAGGCCGGGAACUCAAAGGAGACUGCCAGUGAUAAACUGGAGGAAGGUGGGGAUGACGUCAAGUCAUCAUGGCCCUUACGACCAGGGCUACACACGUGCUACAAUGGCAUAUACAAAGAGAAGCGACCUCGCGAGAGCAAGCGGACCUCAUAAAGUAUGUCGUAGUCCGGAUUGGAGUCUGCAACUCGACUCCAUGAAGUCGGAAUCGCUAGUAAUCGUAGAUCAGAAUGCUACGGUGAAUACGUUCCCGGGCCUUGUACACACCGCCCGUCACACCAUGGGAGUGGGUUGCAAAAGAAGUAGGUAGCUUAACCUUCGGGAGGGCGCUUACCACUUUGUGAUUCAUGACUGGGGUGAAGUCGUAACAAGGUAACCGUAGGGGAACCUGCGGUUG
rnacentral:rRNA from 1 species